rnacentral:rRNA from 1 species
AGAGUUUGAUCAUGGCUCAGGACGAACGCUGGCGGCGUGCCUAAUACAUGCAAGUCGAACGAACUCUGGUAUUGAUUGGUGCUUGCAUCAUGAUUUACAUUUGAGUGAGUGGCGAACUGGUGAGUAACACGUGGGAAACCUGCCCAGAAGCGGGGGAUAACACCUGGAAACAGAUGCUAAUACCGCAUAACAACUUGGACCGCAUGGUCCGAGCUUGAAAGAUGGCUUCGGCUAUCACUUUUGGAUGGUCCCGCGGCGUAUUAGCUAGAUGGUGGGGUAACGGCUCACCAUGGCAAUGAUACGUAGCCGACCUGAGAGGGUAAUCGGCCACAUUGGGACUGAGACACGGCCCAAACUCCUACGGGAGGCAGCAGUAGGGAAUCUUCCACAAUGGACGAAAGUCUGAUGGAGCAACGCCGCGUGAGUGAAGAAGGGUUUCGGCUCGUAAAACUCUGUUGUUAAAGAAGAACAUAUCUGAGAGUAACUGUUCAGGUAUUGACGGUAUUUAACCAGAAAGCCACGGCUAACUACGUGCCAGCAGCCGCGGUAAUACGUAGGUGGCAAGCGUUGUCCGGAUUUAUUGGGCGUAAAGCGAGCGCAGGCGGUUUUUUAAGUCUGAUGUGAAAGCCUUCGGCUCAACCGAAGAAGUGCAUCGGAAACUGGGAAACUUGAGUGCAGAAGAGGACAGUGGAACUCCAUGUGUAGCGGUGAAAUGCGUAGAUAUAUGGAAGAACACCAGUGGCGAAGGCGGCUGUCUGGUCUGUAACUGACGCUGAGGCUCGAAAGUAUGGGUAGCAAACAGGAUUAGAUACCCUGGUAGUCCAUACCGUAAACGAUGAAUGCUAAGUGUUGGAGGGUUUCCGCCCUUCAGUGCUGCAGCUAACGCAUUAAGCAUUCCGCCUGGGGAGUACGGCCGCAAGGCUGAAACUCAAAGGAAUUGACGGGGGCCCGCACAAGCGGUGGAGCAUGUGGUUUAAUUCGAAGCUACGCGAAGAACCUUACCAGGUCUUGACAUACUAUGCAAAUCUAAGAGAUUAGACGUUCCCUUCGGGGACAUGGAUACAGGUGGUGCAUGGUUGUCGUCAGCUCGUGUCGUGAGAUGUUGGGUUAAGUCCCGCAACGAGCGCAACCCUUAUUAUCAGUUGCCAGCAUUAAGUUGGGCACUCUGGUGAGACUGCCGGUGACAAACCGGAGGAAGGUGGGGAUGACGUCAAAUCAUCAUGCCCCUUAUGACCUGGGCUACACACGUGCUACAAUGGAUGGUACAACGAGUUGCGAACUCGCGAGAGUAAGCUAAUCUCUUAAAGCCAUUCUCAGUUCGGAUUGUAGGCUGCAACUCGCCUACAUGAAGUCGGAAUCGCUAGUAAUCGCGGAUCAGCAUGCCGCGGUGAAUACGUUCCCGGGCCUUGUACACACCGCCCGUCACACCAUGAGAGUUUGUAACACCCAAAGUCGGUGGGGUAACCUUUUAGGAACCAGCCGCCUAAGGUGGGACAGAUGAUUAGGGUGAAGUCGUAACAAGGUAGCCGUAGGAGAA